CCUACGGGCGGCAGCAGUGAGGAAUAUUGGUCAAUGGUCGGGAGACUGAACCAGCAAAGCCGCGUGAGGGAUGAAGGUACAGAGUAUCGUAAACCUCUUUUGUCAGGGAACAAAGGCGGGGACGUGUCCCCGGAUGAGUGUACCUGAAGAAAAAGCAUCGGCUAACUCCGUGCCAGCAGCCGCGGUAAUACGGAGGAUGCGAGCGUUAUCCGGAUUUAUUGGGUUUACAGGGUGCGCAGGCGGUCUGUUAAGUCAGCGGUCAAAGCCCGGGGCUCAACCCCGGCCCGCCGUUGAAACUGGCAGUCGCGAGUUGGAGAGAAGUAUGCGGAAUGCGCGGUGUAGCGGUGAAAUGCAUAGAUAUCGCGCAGAACUCCGAUUGCGAAGGCAGCAUGCCGGCUCCACACUGACGCUGAGGCACGAAAGCGUGGGUAUCGAACAGGAUUAGAUACCCUUGUAGUC
rnacentral:rRNA from 1 species